rnacentral:rRNA from 1 species
GCGACAGGCCUAACACAUGCAAGUCAGGGGCAGCACAAGGAGCAAUCUGAGGUGGCGACCGGCGCACGGGUGAGUAACACGUAUGCAACCUGCCUGUAAGCGGGGAAUAACCCGUUGAAAGACGGACUAAUACCGCAUAAUACUAAAUUACUGCAUGGUAAUUUAUUUAAACAUUUAUGGCUUACAGAUGGGCAUGCGCAUGAUUAGCUAGUUGGAGAGGUAACGGCUCCCCAAGGCAACGAUCAUUAGGGGUUCUGAGAGGAAGGUCCCCCACACUGGUACUGAGACACGGACCAGACUCCUACGGGAGGCAGCAGUGAGGAAUAUUGGUCAAUGGACGAGAGUCUGAACCAGCCAAGUCGCGUGCAGGAAGAAUGUCCUUAAUGGAUUGUAAACUGCUUUUGCAGGGGAAUAAAGUGCAUCACGUGUGAUGUUUUGUAUGUACUCUGCGAAUAAGGAUCGGCUAACUCCGUGCCAGCCGCAGC